GGGAAUGUGGCUUAGUGGUAGAGCGCUUGCCUAGCAUGCAUUAAGCCCUGGGUUUGAUUCCGCAGUACCA
rnacentral:tRNA from 1 species